UACGUAGGUGGCAAGCGUUGUCCGGAUUUAUUGGGUUUAAAGGGUGCGUAGGCGGCCUAUUAAGUCAGUGCUGAAAUAUCCCGGCUUAACCGGGAGGGUGGCAUUGAUACUGAUGGGCUUGAGUAGAGUUGAGGUUGGCGGAAUUGACGGUGUAGCGGUGAAAUGCUUAGAUAUCCGGAGGAACACCAGUGGCGAAGGCGGCUUCCUGGACCGGUUCUGACACUGAGGAGCGAAAGCGUGGGGAGCGAUCCGG
rnacentral:rRNA from 1 species